CCCUUAGAUGUUCUGGGCCGCACGCGCGCUACACUGAUGCAUUCAACGAGUCUAAAACCUGGUCUGAUAGGGCUGGGUAAUCUUUUGAAUGUGCAUCGUGAUUGGGAUAGAUGAUUGCAAUUCUUCAUCUUCAACGAGGAAUGCCUAGUAAACGCAAGUCAUCAGCUUGCAUUGAUUACGUCCCUGCCCUUUGUACACACCGCCCGUCGCUCCUACCGAUUGAAUGAUCCGAUGAAUACCAUGGAUUGAGAGUACGAAUGGGUUCGCUCAUUUCUGCUGCUCGAGAAGUGGAGUAAAUCUUAUCAUUUAGAGGAAGGAGAAGUCGUAACA
rnacentral:rRNA from 1 species